rnacentral:rRNA from 1 species
UGGUGGAGCGAUUUGUCUGGUCAAUUCCGAUAACGAACGAGACUCUAGCCUACUAAUUAGUUCGGGGACCCCCACAAAGGGGCCCCGCUUCAACUUCUUAGAGGGACAGGUGGCGUUUAGCCACACGAGAUUGAGCAAUAACA